rnacentral:rRNA from 1 species
UGCAGUCGAGCGAACAGACGAGGAGCUUGCUCCUCUGACGUUAGCGGCGGACGGGUGAGUAACACGUGGAUAACCUACCUAUAAGACUGGGAUAACUUCGGGAAACCGGAGCUAAUACCGGAUAAUAUAUUGAACCGCAUGGUUCAAUAGUGAAAGACGGUUUUGCUGUCACUUAUAGAUGGAUCCGCGCCGCAUUAGCUAGUUGGUAAGGUAACGGCUUACCAAGGCAACGAUGCGUAGCCGACCUGAGAGGGUGAUCGGCCACACUGGAACUGAGACACGGUCCAGACUCCUACGGGAGGCAGCAGUAGGGAAUCUUCCGCAAUGGGCGAAAGCCUGACGGAGCAACGCCGCGUGAGUGAUGAAGGUCUUCGGAUCGUAAAACUCUGUUAUUAGGGAAGAACAAAUGUGUAAGUAACUAUGCACGUCUUGACGGUACCUAAUCAGAAAGCCACGGCUAACUACGUGCCAGCAGCCGCGGUAAUACGUAGGUGGCAAGCGUUAUCCGGCCAGCAGCCGCGGUAAUACGUAGGUGGCAAGCGUUAUCCCGGAAAUUAUUGGGCGUAAAGCGCGCGUAGGCGGUUUUUUAAGUCUGAUGUGAAAGCCCACGGCUCAACCGUGGAGGGUCAUUGGAAACUGGAAAACUUGAGUGCAGAAGAGGAAAGUGGAAUUCCAUGUGUAGCGGUGAAAUGCGCAGAGAUAUGGAGGAACACCAGUGGCGAAGGCGACUUUCUGGUCUGUAACUGACGCUGAUGUGCGAAAGCGUGGGGAUCAAACAGGAUUAGAUACCCUGGUAGUCCACGCCGUAAACGAUGAGUGCUAAGUGUUAGGGGGUUUCCGCCCCUUAGUGCUGCAGCUAACGCAUUAAGCACUCCGCCUGGGGAGUACGACCGCAAGGUUGAAACUCAAAGGAAUUGACGGGGACCCGCACAAGCGGUGGAGCAUGUGGUUUAAUUCGAAGCAACGCGAAGAACCUUACCAAAUCUUGACAUCCUCUGACCCCUCUAGAGAUAGAGUUUUCCCCUUCGGGGGACAGAGUGACAGGUGGUGCAUGGUUGUCGUCAGCUCGUGUCGUGAGAUGUUGGGUUAAGUCCCGCAACGAGCGCAACCCUUAAGCUUAGUUGCCAUCAUUAAGUUGGGCACUCUAAGUUGACUGCCGGUGACAAACCGGAGGAAGGUGGGGAUGACGUCAAAUCAUCAUGCCCCUUAUGAUUUGGGCUACACACGUGCUACAAUGGACAAUACAAAGGGCAGCGAAACCGCGAGGUCAAGCAAAUCCCAUAAAGUUGUUCUCAGUUCGGAUUGUAGUCUGCAACUCGACUAUAUGAAGCUGGAAUCGCUAGUAAUCGUAGAUCAGCAUGCUACGGUGAAUACGUUCCCGGGUCUUGUACACACCGCCCGUCACACCACGAGAGUUUGUAACACCCGAAGCCGGUGGAGUAACCAUUUGGAGCUAGC